rnacentral:rRNA from 1 species
ACAUGCCUAUAGGAUAGUGUUAAUGCACUAGAUCCCAUUAUAACUCCACAGUUAAGCGUGCUCAUGAUAGAGUAGUAUUGAGAUGGGUGACCACCCGAGAAGUCCUAGUGUUUUACAUGCC